rnacentral:ribozyme from 1 species
AGGAAGCAUGGGAGCAUGGCCAACCUACUUCAUUGUCAGCCGAGGUCCAUCAGAUUCCGGGACUAUUUUGAAGAGGACAUAGACGAAGACUAUGAUCCAGAGUGGGAGGAGUUCGUCCUCCAGCUCAAGCAUGACCUUCGCAUCAAAUUAUACGAUUUAUCUUAUUUUCUGGGGA